rnacentral:rRNA from 1 species
UGGGGAAUUUUGGACAAUGGGCGCAAGCCUGAUCCAGCAAUGCCGCGUGCGGGAUGAAGGCCUUCGGGUUGUAAACUGCUUUUGUACGGAACGAAAAAGCUCUCUCUAAUACAGGGGGUGAAUGACGGUACCGUAAGAAUAAGCACCGGCUAACUACGUGCCAGCAGCCGCGGUAAUACGUAGGGUGCGAGCGUUAAUCGGAAUUACUGGGCGUAAAGCGUGCGCAGGCGGUUUUGUAAGACAGAGGUGAAAUCCCCGGGCUCAACCUGGGAACUGCCUUUGUGACUGCAAGGCUGGAGUGCGGCAGAGGGGGAUGGAAUUCCGCGUGUAGCAGUGAAAUGCGUAGAUAUGCGGAGGAACACCGAUGGCGAAGGCAAUCCCCUGGGCCUGCACUGACGCUCAUGCACGAAAGCGUGGGGAGCAAACA